CGUGAGUAACCUGCCUCUAAGAGGGGAAUAACAUUCUGAAAAGAAUGCUAAUACCGCAUAACAUAUAUUUAUCGCAUGGUAGAUAUAUCAAAGAUUUAUCGCUUAGAGAUGGACUCGCGUCCGAUUAGUUAGUUGGUGAGGUAACGGCUCACCAAGGCUGCGAUCGGUAGCCGGACUGAGAGGUUGAACGGCCACAUUGGGACUGAGACACGGCCCAG
rnacentral:rRNA from 1 species